rnacentral:tRNA from 1 species
AAUAAAGUGUCUGAAUAAAAGUAUUAAACUGUAAUUUUAAAAAUGAGUAAAGUAUACUCCUUUAUUU